UCUUAUGGAUGAACCAAGAAAGUGGUUUGUUGAGAUGAAAUCUACUCUUGGUGAAGCUGUUAUGAA
rnacentral:pre_miRNA from 1 species